rnacentral:rRNA from 1 species
GAUGAACGCUAGCUACAGGCUUAACACAUGCAAGUCGAGGGGAAACGACAUCGAAAGCUUGCUUUUGAUGGGCGUCGACCGGCGCACGGGUGAGUAACGCGUAUCCAACCUGCCCAUCACUUGGGAAUAACCUUGCGAAAGUAAGACUAAUACCCAAUGAUAUCCCACGAAGGCAUCGGAAUGGGAUUAAAGAUUUAUCGGUGAUGGAUGGGGAUGCGCCUGAUUAGCUUGUUGGCGGGGUAACGGCCCACCAAGGCAACGAUCAGUAGGGGUUCUGAGAGGAAGGUCCCCCACAUUGGAACUGAGACACGGUCCAAACUCCUACGGGAGGCAGCAGUGAGGAAUAUUGGUCAAUGGGCGAGAGCCUGAACCAGCCAAGUAGCGUGCAGGAGGACGGCCCUAUGGGUUGUAAACUGCUUUUAUAAGGGAAUAAAGUGGGUCACGUGUGACUUUUUGCAUGUACCUUAUGAAUAAGGACCGGCUAAUUCCGUG